UGACGUCAUUGUGCGCCCAUGUAAUCCUCUUGCGCUGAAGCCCAAUCAGCAGAGACUCGCAAUUGUCUAGGAUGGGAAGAGAGGGGCGCUCUAAUCCGGGAGACAGUGGAUCACACAGCCCGAAAGAGAGAGAGAGGGGAGAGCGAGAGAGGGGGGCAUGCAUCCAGGGCUGGAUUGUGCCUGAAAUGGGUCAGAUUAAAAAGACACGAACCAAAAGGAACCGACUGACUCUUGGUGGAGAGAGGACCUUUCUGAAGACGAAGAAGCCAUUUUUUCCCCCCACCUCAUACACGAGAUACUCAGCCUCCCCACUGUCAUCACUGAAUACUGCAGAAUGACCAACUAAACUGGUCUUCAAAACUAAUUUUUUUUUUUUUUAAAUAAAAAGGACAUCUAGCAUUAAUUAUGGACUGAACCAAAGAAGAUCAAGUUAACCACAAAUAGCAGAAAGUUGUGUUUUCUUUCUUUCACAUACAACAGGUUCAAUAUUGGCAACUUUCAUGUAACUUGAACAUCCUGUUUCAAACAUAAUGCAUUAUUGCAUCAACUAAAUAUAUGUCUCUAAUUUAAUCAAGAAUUUGAGCAUGGAGUCAAAUACAAAUAUCUCAUUGCAGUGUUUGUUGGUAUUAGGUUUAUGCUGCACUGAGCUCAAGAUUGAUACUAGAGUCUAUAGAGCAGAGAGCCUGAAUGUGAUAUUGUUUGCCCAUUGUUUGUCUCAGUUGGACGCAUGCUUUGUAAUGAUGUGACAACAAAUAAAGCCCGAGCUGCACUGAG